CGCCUCCUGUCAUUGCGGCGUUUGUUUACUGCAGCCGAUGAAAAAUUUGUUUUCAGAGACAACACCUGAUUUUGAGGCGUUGGUUUUAAGGAGGAGCUGCAGCAGAACAGUUUCACUUUUAUCUCUGUGUGACGCAGAUCUUUCACCCUCUGAAGGCGCAGACCAUCCAGAUGUGCAACAUGCCACCCAACCAAGAUUUCCUAAAACUCAGCAUUAUCGUGGCCAGAGGAAGAGAGUGGUCCACGUCACUCAGGGAUUCCUUCAGGAGCGAUCAGUCAAAAGAUUACAACCUUAAUUUCAGAGGACAGUCUUCUCUCAGAAUCUCUCUGGAAAAUCAGCAUUGUGCCUCUACUGAGAGAGACAGACGAGAUGGUCACACUGAAGAGUUAAAAGAGGGAAAGUUCUCUUUUAAAAAGAUGCUGCGACACAGUGUCAAACAUCUUCUCAAGAGGGUUUUUUAAGAACAACAUGGAGGCGUAUUAUCAAAACCAGCGAGAAUGAUUCCAGAUGAUAAAACAAGAUUCAAAAGUGUCUUUAAAAGUUACUUUAAAAAAGAGAAAUAAUUCUGUAGAAACACCAGAUUCAUUUGAAGUUCUGCCUUAAAAAUACUGUUGAAACUAAAGUAUCAAUACCACGCUGUGAAAGUGCUGUUGGAAGGAAAAAUCCUACAUGAAAAUGGUACUUAAGUAAAAGUAUUGAUACCACACAAGACACUCCAUUACAAGUAAAGUCCUGUAUCCAAAAAAUGAUGAUUAAUGCCACACAGAAUACUCUGAAGUAAAUGUACCGUAUCAAAAAUGAUCCCGUAUGAUGGCGCAGGAUUCAAAUGUGAUUUUCAUUGAUUUUGCUGAUAACAUGAGUUUGGUUAUCAAUGAGGCAUCAAUCAUAAAAAUGAUCAAGCUGUUAAAUCUUCAUAUAGUGCACCUGUACCAGCACCUGGGGAAAGUGGGUAAUAUGUGGAAACUGACUUGUGAAUAUCUUCCUUCAUGCUGAUGAUACGAGAUGACUUUACAAACAAUGUGAAGAUGAUUUGUUGAAAGCUGUAAAAGAAGAAGAUGAGAGGCGUCUCCGAGGUGGAUGAUGGAGACAUCGUGAACACAACUUUCUCGCUUUGAGUGAAAUUUAAACAUAUCUGAUCUGUCGUACUUAGUUGUUGUUGACGUUUGGAUAUGAUUGUAAAAUGUUGCUGGAUCAGGAAACGAUCUGAGGCCAAAAAUGAAGGGAAGUGAUUGAACUAAUGAUCGUCACUGAGACUCGGUCAGUACAGCGUUCACCUCGUCUCUGACUGAAGUUCAGAUCCCUGAUUUAACCUCAGAAUUUGUUCUUCCUCUUCUUGUAUUUUUACAAUUUGUUACUUAAAAUCAGUUUGUGUCAUUAAAAAACACGUAAUCCUACAUAUCUGUGUUUUAUUGUUUAGAGUGGCUUUGUGAACAAGCUGAAUGAAGUCAGAAAUAUAAAGUGCCAAAAUAAGUUUUACUUAGAGGAUCAGAAGGUUUAUUUAAGUAGAUAUUGAAAUCUCCAUUAAUUAGGAUCUUAUAUGAACGAGUCAUAAGAUCAGCAAUAAGAGUAAGUAAGAGUAUGAACUGGGACAAUGUACAUUUUAAUAAUAGUAUGAUUGGCUUCCUCUGCAGGUAGAAAUGACAGGAUGCAGAAGUGAUUAGCUUUGGUUUAUUGUGAUAUAAGACUGUUUCAGGUGCUUGCUGAGACAAGUGUCCACUGUCAGAGGAGAACAAGAUCAGAUUAUUGAGAUUUACACAUUCAGAGGAUGAUUCAGUGAGAGAGUGACGAGGGAAGGUGACAGUCUCAGUGUUAGAAACUCAGUUAUCAGUCUGGUGUUCUGCACUUUAUCCCUGAUUAACCAUGUUAACUAGACUCCACCAUCACUAACUGUAUCACCUGUCACCUGCCGAGUGCUGCAGCUUUACUGUCGCACCUGCUGCAGGGGACCAACAACUGCUACAAUGCUGCGAUGCUAAAGCUAGCAGGCGAAAACCAGUAAGCUAGGCUAGGUUGAGGAAAGCUAACCGGACAGCGACAGAACAGAAGAUCGGUUCGACAAAACACAUACAAGUUAUAAAAGUGUAAAGUUGGCUAAUAAACCAGUGGGACUAUGAAAGAUUAAGGAAUAAACAGCUAAGACAGAUGAACAAAGAAAACUCGGUCAGCAACAGCCUUCGAUCUGCCGGAAGUCCUGAAAAAUAUCACAUGGUGGGACUUUAGGGCCUCUGUGGAAGAUAAAUAAGGAGGAGCUGCAGCAGAACAGUUUCACUUUUGUCUCUGUGUGAUGCAGAUCAUUCACCCUCUGAAGCAGCAGGAGGACAGCAACACCCGAGCUCUGAUGUGACAUAAAGAUCUCCGGAUCAGACUGUAUGUAACUGACAAUGGGUUGGGGAAGUAAUGCAUGGAGACACAUCUUCAGGAUCAAGUUAUGCGACUGGAAGUAUCUCCCAACUGCCCAGAAGUCUGUUGACGGAGGUGCGAUCAGAUCCUUUCUCAGACCAGAACCGCAGAGACCAGAACAUCCGGAACUCUUCAGAUCACGUCCUAUAGACUGUGAAAAGUCAAGAAUCCCUCCAAUUGAUUUCUAAGAAGGACGAUCUCCUCCCAGAUGACUUUACAAACAAUGUAAAGAUGGUUUGAUGUAAAAGAAGAAGAUGAGAGGAGUCUCCCUGCUGCUCAGGAGUUUGUUGUCUGAGGUGGAUGAUGGAGACAUCGUGAACACAACGGGGACAAUUUUCAACUUUUUAUCUUCUGUUACCUCUUUUUAAUCAGAAUAUUUUCUUGAAUGCACUUUUGACUGUCUGGUUUCUCUGUUGCACUUUUAUAAUUUGUUACCUAUAAUGAGUUUGUCAUAUUAAAACCAUAUAUUUCAACAUAUCUGUGUUUGAUUGUGCGAUCCUUCACAUAGAAAACAAUCAGCCGAUCAAUAACCAGAAGUGAAAAGUAUUGUAGAGUUUAAUCCAGAAGGUUUGUGUAAACUCAGCAGAGCUCAGAGCAGCGACACUACUGUGGACUCUGAAAUAAAGAAUGACUCUUUAAACUUUAUAUCAGGAGGAGAAGUUGACAGCUCCCAGAUCAGCUGCAGGCUGGUUCACAGGAUGUUACUGCAUGUAAAUAAACUCAGUGACUCUCUGGUCAUAGUAUCCAUUGUUCCCAACACAUCCUCUUUAUUUGUACACUGUGACGUUUCAGCAUUACUAUCAGAAGACAGACAAUAAGGACAGAUGAAUUAAAGGCUCCUGAUAAAAGUUAUUAUCUCAUUAAAACCUCACUUGAAAGUGCUUGACAUUAUAACACUGUGUUUUGGCAAAAUUGGGAUCAGACUGGAUAGUUU